AUCCCAGACGAUGAUCCUCUGUCUGUCUUGCUGGUGUUUCGGGGCCUAUAGCUUGAUAUGUCUACUGAUAACUCAACUAGAACGCGUCAAAGUCCAUAUAUAGCAAUUCUGCCCCUGCCAUUUCCACCUGUUGAAUAAAAUAGUAAGGAAAAGGAAAUAAAUAAAUUCGCCCUCUCUCCCCGCUUCCUCCUCCCGCCUUCUGCCCCAACCAGUCUCCUCGCCUCGCGUCUGCCCACACCCCUCGAUACCGACCGCGCCACCCGCACCCCUUCCCUCGCCACCGUCCUGCCACUCUGCUCGGCUCGACACCCGCGCCAGCACCUCAAUGCCGAUGAUCUAGGUUGGUUGCCUUACCUUACCCAACCGCUGCUCACCCUCCGACCCUUCGUGGCUUUCCGCCUAUUAGCCAUCGCGUCUGUUCGCGUGUUGUUUGUAGAUUGUGUCUUCUAUGUUGACCCGCUAAUAUGGAUUCUCCAUCCUCCUCCGCUCCCUCUCGCCUAUUACUGGUUUAGUUCUUCUCCAUUUUGGUUUCCAUCUAUCGUCUCCAAACUGCUCGACGAAAUGCCUGAUCCAUCCUUCCCGUGCUCCACAUCACUAGACGGGUGAAUUUCGCAUUGAACAGUUCAGAAUUUACACUACUAUGGGUGAGCGUUGAUCUAAAGAUGGAGUUUCUUGCCGAAAUUUAUAUGAAUCAACCUAUUCAGGUUUACUGUACAUUCGCAGGGAAGUUGACUGCGAGUUUUCCAAUGGGAGAUUAGCUAUAAGGUUAGCCUAUCAAGCUCUUUUAACUUUGAAGUGGGCUCAAAUCAGUUGUUAUAAUAUAUUGAAGAUCGGGAGCUCCGCGGGGGCAGGUUGGGCCGAGGUCGUGUGUAACAUCACGAUAAUUGUUCAACUCCAAGCAAUGCAGGCCGAAGGUAUUGGGAAAGGCCUACUGUUAGAUGCAUCUGAAGGCAUUUUUGCUUUGAGAAGAUCAAUGCACAAACCACUGGGAAGGUGCAUUUGGAGUCAGUCGUUGAUAGGGAUUAAGUUCAAAUCCUUCUUGUGUGCAGCCGUUAACCUCGAUUUCAAAGGAUGUAGACUCUUCUUUCAUUUAUGGAUAUUAUGCACCAUGAUUUUUAUUCAUGCAAGAUAAAAUUAAUCCAUGAUUGACAAGGUGAUUGUGGUUGGUGGCAGCUUGUAUUGCCAAUUUCACCACUAUUAAAUUGAAGGGACAAGAUUUAUUCAA